GGGGGAUUUUGGACAAUGGGCGCAAGCCUGAUCCAGCCAUGCCGCGUGCAGGAUGAAGGCCUUCGGGUUGUAAACUGCUUUUGUACGGAACGAAAAGACUCUGGUUAAUACCUGGUGUCCAUGACGGUACCGUAAGAAUAAGCAGCGGCUAACUACGUGCCAGCAGCCGCGGUAAUACGUAGGUGGCAAGCGUUGUCCGGAAUUAUUGGGCGUAAAGCGCGCGCAGGUGGUUUCUUAAGUCUGAUGUGAAAGCCCACGGCUUAACCGUGGAGAGUCAUUGGAAACUGGGAGACUUGAGUGCAGAAGAGGAAAGUGGAAUUCCAAGUGUAGCGGUGAAAUGCGUAGAGAUUUGGAGGAACACCAGUGGCGAAGGCGACUUUCUGGUCUGCAACUGACGCUGAGGCGCGAAAGCAUGGGGAGCAAACA
rnacentral:rRNA from 1 species